rnacentral:lncRNA from 1 species
GUGGAGGGGCUGAAGCGGCUGGCCAAGUCCGACCCCAUGGUGCAGUGCAUCAUCGAGGAGUCGGGAGAGCAUAUCAUCGCGGGCGCCGGCGAGCUGCACCUGGAGAUCUGCCUGAAGGACCUGGAGGAGGACCACGCCUGCAUCCCCAUCAAGCACCACGUCCUCGAAUUCUCAGACGACACCUGGAGACUGUCCCGACACAGCGACGCUCCCCUGAGAGGUUUCUGGGGCCCGCUGCGUGCCAUCACUCAACCAUAACACUUGAUGCCGUUUCUUUCAAUAUUUAUUUCCAGAGUCCGGAGGCAGCAGACACGCCCUCUUAGUAGGGACUUAAUGGGCCGGUCGGGGAGGGGGAGGCGGGAUGGGACACCCAACACUUUUUCCAUUUCUUCAGAGGGAAACUCAGAUGUCCAAACUAAUUUUAACAAACGCAUUAAGAGGUUUAUUUGGGUACAUGGCCCGCAGUGGCUUUUGCCCCAGAAAGGGGAAAGGAACACGCGGGUAGAUGAUUUCUAGCAGGCAGGAAGUCCUGUGCGGUGUCACCAUGAGCACCUCCAGCUGUACUAGUGCCAUUGGAAUAAUAAAUUUGAUAAGGUGGUG